UCUCGUAAGAGUUUUAUCUUAAUGGGUUUUUUAAUUAAUGGUACUAAAUACUCGAUUAAGUAGGUACUCCGUUUGAAAGAUUUCUGAUUCAUUUAUCUGUAACUCUUCACAUAUGAUUUUCUUUUGAUCGUGUUUCCAGUUGGUGUUUCUUUCUACUUCAGGUAGAUAUUAAUUUUUCAUGAUUAAAUUCUAAAACACGAACUGCAGGUUUUAGUAAGCUCUCACGACGAAUGAUGAAUAAUCUACAAAAUCAGCCAAAAGAAGCCCGGGGGCCAAUUUGAAUACAUUCCUUAAUGAAACCUGAUAUGAAGUACCUAUAUAGUUGGAUUAGUUGCCCCCAGAUGUUUAUAGUCCCGAACUGGAAUACUGAUGAAAAAAAUUCCUAUGAACCUGAAAGAAGUCCUCGUUCGAGGUGAUAAUCGUUUAUGAAGUAUCCAGUGAAAAAUUACAGAUCAUAGAAGAACAUACUAAAAUACGGUCCGAGCGUAUUUUUUCCUAAAAAAGCUUUCUGAUACGUAAUUAAACGCUCCAAGGAUCUUUAAUCAUGGACCACGUCGAAAUUUGAAAAGAAACCCGAGCCUUUUGAAUAUCUAAAGAAAGAACAUGAGCCAAUGAAAGUGAGAAUUUUCGUUAAAAUUACCUAUAGAAAAGAACAACUCCGUGCAAGUUAUUGUUGAACCAGAGCAAGACGACGACGACGAGAGAACGAAAACAGCCGAACACGAAUUGCAGUCGAAAAAGCAGAAGAUGAACUAGAAAACGUGAAAUCACAUAUGGCAAAAAAGUUGACCAUUUUCCGCUGGCUUCUACGAGUAUCUGUCUGCACGUGUUUACCUGGAAUGGCAGAAACUAGAAGAAACGUCCAUUCUUAACGUGCAUAAUGAUGAUUAUUUCAACUAUAGUAAUGUACCGUCCCUACAUAAAUUACGAUAAGGAUAAUAUGUAGAGGAUUACAGGUAUUUCUUAAAUUUUGAAGCGAGAAUAAUCAAAGUAAUCUAUAGUGCCUGCCUUUGAGCGGAUAUGCCUCAAGUUUUGUUCUCUACUCUUUACUCCAACGUCUGCAACUGAUACAUUCCAUCUACAUAUAUAUUUUCAUUAAAAAUCUUCAGGUUGCAUAUGCAUCUUUGAAUCUUUCGUGCAUUCCCAGGCAUUUAAAGAUGUACAUCACGUCGAUGACUGUAUAAGGAUAAUAUACGGCAGCAUCAUCUACAGAAUACAUUCAGAUUUAUCAAAUUUAAUACAUAAAUGGCUUCAACUCGUUGAUAACUGUUGUACCCUGAAACCUUUGAUCUCUUGGAACAUAAGAAAGAAGCUCAGCUCAAGAAGUGAUCAGUUCUACAGAUUUUUUUUUCAAUUAUAAUACGGGAUGCUUUACAUUUUAAAAAAAACCACGUUAGGUUUAAUUAUUAUUCGUUUGAUCGAAUAUGUGAUUUACAUUCACGAUUAAUAUUUUUACGAUUUCCUCCGAUCAUUGAUGAUUAAUUGUUCCUUCAAGUUGGAAGAAUUUCGGAAUUAAAAAGCCAUUGUACACACAGACGACCUAUAGCAAAUGAUGACAGAAAUCUCGUUAUUGAUGGAAUUGAAUUUGUAGAGCUGAUUUUGUCCAUUGUUUUUUGUUUCUUUGCCACAAAUGAACAAAAAUAUGGAAUCAAAAUUUGUAACAGAAUUACUCCUAAAGAAGCAGCAUUCAGAAAUUUGACACCGGACAUGAUUCGUUUUUACUUCCGCCGAUGGCUUUGUGCGUCUGAUAGUGAGAGGGUCAGACUGGAUCCUAGAUUACCAUCUAUAGUUCGUUGAAGUUAGUGGGUAAAAUCUGCGAAUUGAAAUGUUUGAAAAAAAAUAUAUUAUAUUCACAAGAACCAAAGAUACCUACUAUGUAUUGUGUUUCUGAUACAUUCGCUCCGCAUCAGUUUUUCAUUGACUGGUAACAACAACUACAGUGAGUCCCAAGGAAUCGUAGAGAUCGUGAAUGUCAGCACCUCAAAUCAGAACUUCGGCUAUAAAUCAAAACAAUCAUCUUUUGGAAUGAAGAAAAGACGUUCGGUAUGUUUUUAAGGAGACAGAAUCACUAGAAAUUAAGAAACCUUGAGGCACUAAUGUAGUAUUUUGUAUCGUAAAUUUUUAUUUUCAUUGCUUGUAUGGCUGUUUAAUUGGCGUCGAUCCAUCUAAAGACUACAAAAAUACAUUACAUACCUACGGUGACAUAUUGAUCAUUUGAAUGCCCUCCGAAAAUUCGAGGAUUUUUACUAUAAAUUAAAAAUUACGAUAAUUUAUAGUAAAAAACCUCGGAUUUUCGAAGUCCAUUCAAAUCUUCACUAUUUUAUAGUAAAUACAAAUUACAAUAAAAAUUUCUCUCAGUGUACUUAAUAUCUACUUAUGUAAUAGCCCGUGUUAUUUUUUAUUUCAAAAUAUAUUUCUUCGUUAUCUUUAUUAACCUGAAAAA